GGUGAAUAUUGUGCUUUGGAUUUGGAAAACAAGAUUAACACUAUUGACCAUUAACAAUUAGAAAUGUCAGAGUCGCACAUUGACGUAAAAUGCUAUUUCACGAAAUUUACUGCAAUUUCAUCAAGGUGCAAAAUAUGUAGCAAUGUUUACAAGCAUCAUAACAAUACUACAAAUUUACGAAACCACCUGAAACGUAAACAUUCAGAAUUUUUAAAUAUGGGAUUGGCACAAAACAAGAGUCAAAAACGUCUAAAAGUGAUAAAUAACAAAGGUUCAAAAGAGGAUCAAGAUCAGACCCAGACUACUACAUCGUCACUACAGAAUGAUGUUUCUACAUCAUCACUACACAAUGAUGUCGAAAAGAGCGAGACAAAUUUAUCAGAAGCAACAACAGUAAUUCUCUGUGAUCUUACU